ensembl:lncRNA
AGCGGCCCUCUGCCGGGCUCGGUGCGGCCGCGCCCUGGUGGGUAUGGAAUGGAGCGAGCGCCGGGGCUGAAGUCAGCGACGGGAAACCGAGCGACAAAAACAGAAGGUCUCGGCGGCGUGCGGUACAGGAAGGCGCCCAGAGCUCAGAAGCAGCCGCGCUCAGCGGGUCUCGCAGAGCGGAGCGCUUCACGGAACCGCUGCCAGAGAGAGAACCCCGCGCGGAGCCGCCCCCGGGGCAGCAGCGCCGGCAGCGGGCGUGGGGGAGGGCAGAGCCGGGCCUGGGGCUUCGGGCACGCUUCCAUGUCUGACACCGUUUUGUCAGACCGCCCCUCGGCGCCGUCUGCCACACGGCAGCGCGUCCAGAACGUUGGUGGGAAGAUUCAGCCUCUGCUGCUAUCCCACCAACGUCCACCUCUGAUAUCGUGGGCCAACGUCAUAGAAUAAGAGGCGUUACUUUCAGAGCAGCCCUCGCAUUUUAGACUUCUAUCAAAGAUCAGUAGUUAAUGGUUGCUUUGCAGUUGCAGCAACACUCGUGCUACAAAAGACUAAACGCAGCCAUUAGCAGCCCAGCCCACCAGCAGCAGUACCACAGAUGAAACCUAAUUGCUACAAGCACAAGAGUGGCAGAAAAUUCACCACCGCACGUAUGUAUGUCCCUGGUGCCUGGCUGCUCGCUUGCAAGCACUUGCGAGGUGGGUGGAGGUCAGCAGGCUUCAAAAGCAGUUGAAAACAAAAAGACAGUUCCUUCUUAAAGGAGAUCCAAUAGCAGGCAGUGCUGGGACACGAUCGCGGACACCAUGGUGUGGUUCCAGCUUGCCAGAAUGAAGGUACAGCGGGCAGCACUCAGCAUCGAAAGCAUGCAAGCUCUGACCAGCACAAGGCGAAGCCCACAAGCAGCCCUUCCAGGACAGCUAACCCAGACAUCAACUGCCAACCCAUAGCCCUCAAGUGAUUACAGCAGACAGGAAAGAAAAC